rnacentral:rRNA from 1 species
GGAAUCUUCCACAAUGGGCGCAAGCCUGAUGGAGCAACACCGCGUGAGUGAAGAAGGGUUUCGGCUCGUAAAGCUCUGUUGUUAGAUAAGAACGUGCGUGAGAGUAACUGUUCACGCAGUGACGGUAUCUAACCAGAAAGUCACGGCUAACUACGUGCCAGCAGCCGCGGUAAUACGUAGGUCCCGAGCGUUGUCCGGAUUUAUUGGGCGUAAAGCGAGCGCAGGCGGUUUAAUAAGUCUGAAGUUAAAGGCAGUGGCUUAACCAUUGUUCGCUUUGGAAACUGUUAGACUUGAGUGCAGAAGAGGACAGUGGAACUCCAUGUGUAGCGGUGGAAUGCGUAGAUAUAUGGAAGAACACCAGUGGGGAAGGCGGCUGUCUGGUCUGCAACUGACGCUGAGGCUCGAAAGCAUGGGUAUCGAACA